rnacentral:rRNA from 1 species
ACUCCUGCGGGAGGCAGCAGUGGGGAAUUUUGGACAAUGGGCGAAAGCCUGAUCCAGCAAUGCCGCGUGAGUGAAGAAGGCCUUCGGGUUGUAAAGCUCUUUUGUCAGGGAAGAAACGGUGAGAGCUAAUAUCUUUUGCUAAUGACGGUACCUGAAGAAUAAGCACCGGCUAACUACGUGCCAGCAGCCGCGGUAAUACGUAGGGUGCAAGCGUUAAUCGGAAUUACUGGGCGUAAAGCGUGCGCAGGCGGUUUUGUAAGUCUGAUGUGAAAUCCCCGGGCUCAACCUGGGAAUUGCAGUGGAGACUGCAAGGCUAGAAUCUGGCAGAGGGGGGUAGAAUUCCACGUGUAGCAGUGAAAUGCGUAGAUAUGUGGAGGAACACCGAUGGCGAAGGCAGCCCCCUGGGUCAAGAUUGACGCUCAUGCACGAAAGCGUGGGGAGCAGACAGGAUUAGAAACCCCAGUAGUCCCAUG